rnacentral:rRNA from 1 species
GACAGAGGGUGCAAACGUUGUUCGGAAUUACUGGGCGUAAAGCGCGUGUAGGCGGCCCGGAAAGUCGGAUGUGAAAGCCCUGGGCUUAACCUAGGAAGUGCAUUCGAAACUCUCGGGCUUGAGUUCUGGAGAGGAAGGCGGAAUUCUCGGUGUAGAGGUGAAAUUCGUAGAUAUUGGGAAGAACACCGGUGGCGAAGGCGGCUAUCUGGACCGACAUUGACGCUGAGGCGCGAAAGCGUGGGGAGCAAACAGG